CCAAGAGCGUACGGUGGAUGCCUUGGCGCCAAAUGCCGAUGAAGGACGUGGUACACUGCGAAAAGCUCUGGUGAGGAGUGUGCAUCCGCAUGAGCCAGAGAUGUCCGAAUGGGGAAACCCACAUGGGGGCAUGCCCAUGUAUCCACGGGGGAACACAUAGCCCGUGGAAGGGAACCUGGGGAACUGAAACAUCUAAGUACCCAGAGGAAAAGAAACGAUUCCCCGAGUAGUGGCGAGCGAAAGGGGAUUAGCCCAAACUCACCUGCUUGCAGGUGGGGGUUGUAGGGCAGCACGGAAACCUGUAAGUCAGAGGUCGAACGGCUCUGGAAAGGCCGGCCAAAGACGGUGACAGCCCGGUAGACGGACGGACGCGCAGGGGGUGCUGUACCUGAGUACCACGGAGCACGCUAAUUCUGUGGGAAGCUGGGGGGUCCACCCUCCAAGGCUAAAUACGUUUGGCGACCGAUAGCGGACCAGUACCGUGAGGGAAAGGUGAAAAGAACCCCGGUGAGGGGAGUGAAAUAGAACCUGAAACCGUGCGCUUACAAGCAGUCAGAGGCCCAUAAGUGGCUGAUGGCGUGCCUCUUGGAGAAUGAGCCAGCGAGUUAAUUUCUGUGGCGAGGUUAAGGGAGGGACACCCGGAGCCGAAGCGAAAGCGAGUCUGAAGAGGGCGAGCAGUCGCAGGGAUUAGACACGAAACCAGGUGAGCUACCCAUGGCCAGGCUGAAGCGAAGCUAACCCUUCGUGGAGGGCCGAACCUUUCAACGUUGCAAAGUUGAGGGAUGAGCUGUGGGUAGGGGUGAUAUGCCAAACGAACUUGGAGAUAGCUUGUUCUCCCCGAAAUAGCUUUAGGGCUAGCGUCACGUGUUCAGUCCCGGAGGUAAAGCACUGGAUGGGCUAGGGGCCGCAAGGUUACCAAACCCAACCAAACUCUGAAUGCCGGGACUUCAAGCGUGGCAGUCGGACUACGGGAGAUGAGUUUCGUAGUCGAAAGGGAAACAGCCCAGCCCCACAGCUAAGGUCCUCAAGUCCAGGCUCAGUGGAAAACGAGGUGGGAGUGUUUAGACAGCCAGGAGGUUGGCUUAGAAGCAGCCACCCUUUAAAGAGUGCGUAAUAGCUCACUGGUCAAACGCUCCUGCGCGGAUAAUGUAACGGGGCUAAGCCUGGCACCGAAGCUCGGGAUGGUCCGCAAGGGCCGUAGUAGGGGAGCGUUCUGAGGGCAGAGAAGCACGACCGGCAAGGACGUGUGGAGCGCUCAGAAGUGAGAAUGCUGGCAUGAGUAGCGAGAAACAUGUGAGAACCAUGUUCGCCGAAAGUCUAAGGUUUCCGACGGAAGGUCAGUCCGCGUCGGGUUAGUCGGGCCUUAGCCGAGGCCGAAAGGCGUAGGUGAUGGACAACGGGUGAAUAGUCCCGUACCACCAGGAUGGAGCGAUGGAGGGACGCGGUGUGGUAGCUCAGCCGGUUAAUGGAUUCCGGUGCCAAGCGUAGUAGGCGAUGACGGGGGUAGGCAAAUCCGCUCCCCAGCCGAAAGCGCGAGCGCGGUGCCUUCGGGCCAGAAGUGAGUGAACCGUACUGCCAAGAAAAGCUUCUAAGUGAUGAAGUCCUGGUGCCCGUACCGCAAACCGACACAGGUAGACGGGUAGAGAAUACCAAGGCGAACGGGAGAACCCUCGUUAAGGAACUAGGCAAAAUGGCCCCGUAACUUCGGGAGAAGGGGCGCCGCAGCGAUGCGGCCACAGUGAAAUGGCUCUGCCGACUGUUUAACAAAAGCACAGGUCUCUGCGAACGCGAAAGCGGACGUAUAGGGGCUGACACCUGCCCAGUGCCGGAAGGUUAAAGGGAGGGGUUAAGCGGCAACGCUGACGCUCUGAACUGAAGCCCCGGUGAACGGCGGCCGUAACUAUAACGGUCCUAAGGUAGCGAAAUUCCUUGUCGGGUAAGUUCCGACCCGCACGAAUGGUGUAACGAGUGGAGCACUGUCUCAACGAGGGACCCGGCGAAAUUGAAAUACGUGUGAAGAUGCGCGUUCCCCGCAGCAGGACAAAAAGACCCCGUGGAGCUUUACUACAACUUGCUAUUGCGUUAGGGCUUGACUUGUGCAGGAUAGCUGGGAGGCUUUGAAGCUGGCGCGCUAGCGUCGGUGGAGCCGUCGGUGAGAUACCAGCCUGGUGAAGUCUUGGCCCUAACCGUCGGCCUGCGACAGGCGACGGGACAGUGGCAGGCGGGUAGUUUGACUGGGGCGGUCGCCUCCUAAAGGGUAACGGAGGCGCCCAAAGGUUCCCUCAGGUUGAAUGGAAACCAACCGCAGAGUGUAAAGGCACAAGGGAGCUUGACUGCAAGGCCAACGCGCCGAGCAGAGACGAAAGUCGGGCUUAGUGAUCCCACGGUACCGAGUGGAAGGGCCGUGGCUUACCGGAUAAAAGCUACCCCGGGGAUAACAGGCUAGUCUAGUCCAAGAGUUCACAUCGACGACUAGGCUCGGCACCUCGAUGUCGGCUCAUCGCAUCCUGGGGCUGGAUCAGGUCCCAAGGGUCGGGCUGUUCGCCCGUUAAAGCGGUACGUGAGCUGGGUUCAGACCGUCGUGAGACAGGUCGGUCUCUAUCCGCUGUGGGCGUAAGGAGUUUGAGAGGAGCUGCCCCUAGUACGAGAGGACCGGGGUGGACGAAGCGCUCGUGUGCCGGUUGUCACGCCAGUGGCAUCGCCGGGUAGCGACCUUCGGCAGGGAUAACCGCUGAAAGCAUCUAAGCGGGAAGCUCGCCUCAAGAUGAGACUCCUCACUGGAUAACCAGGUAAGACCGCUGGAAGACGACCAGCUUGAUAGGCGGGCGGUGUAAGCGCCGUAAGGCGUUCAGCUAACCCGUACUAAUGGUCGAGGGCUUAUCCA
rnacentral:rRNA from 1 species